rnacentral:rRNA from 1 species
CCCCAAGAUGUUCUGGGCCGCACGCGCGCUACACUGAACAGUUCAACAAGUCUUAACCUUGGCCGAUAGGUCUGGGUAAUCUUUGAACGCUGUUCGUGAUUGGGAUAGACCUUUGCAAUUAUGGGUCUUCAACGAGGAAUUCCUAGUAAACGCAAGUCAUCAGCUUGCAUUGAUUACGUCCCUGCCCUUUGUACACACCGCCCGUCGCACCUACCGAUUGAAUGGUCCGGUGAAAUCUCGGGACGGCGGCUUGGUCGCUUGCGUCCGACUGCUGAAACUUGAUUAAACCAUAUCAUUUAGAGGAAGGUGAAGUCGUAACA